GGCCCUACGGGAGGCAGCAGUGGGGAAUAUUGCGCAAUGGGCGAAAGCCUGACGCAGCGACGCCGCGUGAGGGAUGAAGGUCUUCGGAUCGUAAACCUCUGUCAGCAGGGAAGAACGGUCACUGUGCUAAUCAGCAGUGAAUUGACGGUACCUGCAAAGGAAGCACCGGCUAACUCCGUGCCAGCAGCCGCGGUAAUACGUAGGUGGCAAGCGUUGUCCGGAUUUACUGGGUGUAAAGGGCGUGUAGCCGGGCCGGCAAGUCAGAUGUGAAAUCCCAAGGCUCAACCUUGGAACUGCAUUUGAAA
rnacentral:rRNA from 1 species